rnacentral:rRNA from 1 species
AGAGCGAACGCUGGCGGCAGGCCUAACACAUGCAAGUCGAACGGACUCUUCGGAGUUAGUGGCGGACGGGUGAGUAACACGUGGGAACGUGCCUUUAGGUUCGGAAUAGCUCCUGGAAACGGGUGGUAAUGCCGAAUGUGCCCUUCGGGGGGAAAGAUUUAUCGCCUUUAGAGCGGCCCGCGUCUGAUUAGCUAGUUGGUGAGGUAGAGGCUCACCAAGGCUACGAUCAGUAGCUGGUCUGAGAGGAUGACCAGCCACAUUGGGACUGAGACACGGCCCAAACUCCUACGGGAGGCAGCAGUGGGAAUCUUGCGCAAUGGGCAAAGCCUGACGCAGCCAUGCCGCGUGAAUGAUGAAGGUCUUAGGAUUAGUAAAUUCUUCAGUAGGACGAUAAUGACGUACUACAGAAGACGCCCGUACUAACUCGU